rnacentral:rRNA from 1 species
CCGCACGGGUGAGUAACACGUAUCCAACCUGCCGUCUACUCUUGGACAGCCUUCUGAAAGGAAGAUUAAUACAAGAUGGCAUCAUGAGUCCGCAUGUUCACAUGAUUAAAGGUGUUCCGGUAGACGAUGGGGAUGCGUUCCAUUAGAUAGUAGGCGGGGUAACGGCCCACCUAGUCAACGAUGGAUAGGGGUUCUGAGAGGAAGGUCCCCCACAUUGGAACUGAGACACGGUCCAA